AUGAACACGUUCCUUAGUGUAUCUGUAUCUUUAAUGAUGUUUACAGCUGCCUGUCUUGGUAAAACUGUUCACCAGACGCCUGAUGAUCACUUGAAGAAUCAAGAUGAAUCUGCUGUGAUCUCAUGCUCUCACAAUAUACAGAGCUACAACCAAAUUCUGUGGUACAAACAAAGUCAGGACAUGUCAGGCUUAAAGUUGAUGGGAUACCUUCAAUAUAAAGUUCCAAAUAAAGAGCCUGAAUUCACAAACAAGAUCGAAUUGGAUGGAGAUGCACAGAAAAAUGGCACUCUGACUAUCCAGAACCUCAUGCUGAAUGACAGUGCAGUGUAUUUCUGUGCAGCAUAUUACACAGUGCUCAGAAUCACAUCUGUCUAA